UACGUAGGACCCAAGCGUUGUCCGGAUUUACUGGGUGUAAAGGGAGCGCAGGCGGAUUUUCAAGUCGAUGGUGAAAUCUUGCGGCUCAACCGCAAAACAGCCGUCGAUACUGUUAAUCUUGAGUGUGGAAGAGAGUGGCGGAAUUCAUGGUGUAGCAGUGAAAUGCGUAGAUAUCAUGAAGAACACCGGUUGCGAAGGCGGCCACUUAGUCCAUUACUGACGCUCAUGCUCGAAAGCGUGGGGAUCAAACAGG
rnacentral:rRNA from 1 species